rnacentral:lncRNA from 1 species
UCUCGGGGAUACCUUGGCCGAGGCAUCUAACCGAGUCCGCCAAGGGUGUUAAAAUAUUCACACAUGAAAUACAUUUUUAUUUUUAAAACAAGCCGUCCCUUGGCGUUGGCCGAGUUACACAUUCACGUGGGGGUUCGACGUGAAGUGAGCUCUAAUACUACCCCAGGAGUUACCCUCCUCGCCUCUACAACCGGAGUAACUAUAUAACUGGGUUUACCGUGCCCUUCUAAUAGGCAGUCCACGGAAACCUGUGACUGCAGUGACUAACCCACCAAUUUUAAUAAAAUUUCGACAUAUAACGUGGCUUUUAUUUAUUUAUCCAGCCUGCAUAGUAAAAACAACUUACAUAAAUUUCCCAAUGCACUCACAAAAUAUAGCCACAUAUACUCAUUUCUCAUAAGCCAUUCCUAGGAAAAUAUAUAUAUUUCAAGUCAAUUUGCAGCCUCCGAUUACUCAAUUUCAUAAUCAAUACAAUAUAUUUUUAUUUGUCACAUUUAUUCCUAAAACAUCAAAAAUCCCGUUUUAAUCUCGUUCUCAUUUCAUAAA